GGUGAACGCUGGCGGCGUGCCUAAGACAUGCAAGUCGAGCGGGGCAGGUUUAUACCUGUUCAGCGGCGGACGGGUGAGUAACGCGUGGGUGACCUACCCGGAAGAGGCGGACAACCUGGGGAAACCCAGGCUAAUCCGCCAUGUGGUCCUGUCCUGUGGGGCAGGACUAAAGGGUGGAUAGCCCGCUUCCGGAUGGGCCCGCGUCCCAUCAGCUAGUUGGUGGGGUAAAGGCCCACCAAGGCGACGACGGGUAGCCGGUCUGAGAGGAUGGCCGGCCACAGGGGCACUGAGAAAGGGGCCCCACUCCUACGGGAGGAAGCAGUAGGAAUCUUCCGCAAUGGACGGAAGUCUGACGGAGCGACGCCGCUUGGAGGAGGAAGCCCUUCGGGGUGUAAACUCCUGAACUGGGGACGAAAGCCCUGUGUAGGGGGAUGACGGUACCCAGGUAAUAGCGCCGGCCAACUCCGUG
rnacentral:rRNA from 1 species